UACGGAGGGGGCUAGCGUUGUUCGGAAUUACUGGGCGUAAAGCGCACGUAGGCGGCGAUUUAAGUCAGAGGUGAAAGCCCGGGGCUCAACCCCGGAACUGCCUUUGAGACUGGAUUGCUAGAAUCUUGGAGAGGCGAGUGGAAUUCCGAGUGUAGAGGUGAAAUUUCGUAGAUAUUCGGAAGAACACCAGUGGCGAAGGCGGCUCGCUGGACAAGUAUUGACGCUGAGGUGCGAAAGCGUGGGGGAGCAAACAGG
rnacentral:rRNA from 1 species